GGAGAUUUAGCUCAGUGGUAGAGCACUUGCCUAGCAAGCACAAGGCCCUGGGUUCAGUCCCCAACUCCA
rnacentral:tRNA from 1 species